GAGUUGGGACCCAGCAGUUGCCCUCCAGAUCAUCCUAACCCAGAGCAGGACAAAGGAACAGCCCUUCGUGUGGAAAGGGAGACUUCCAGGGAUUAAUUCUCCUGAGAUCAUCACUGACAUGGAUGCUGCCAGUCUUUCAAUUUCAUUCCUGUUGCUAAUGCAUUUGCUGUCCACCAAGAGGAGCACACAAAGCUAACUUGCCCGUCCUUAUGCUCCUGUCUAUUUGGCC